GACGAACGCUGGCGGCGUGCUUAACACAUGCAAGUCGAACGGAAAGGCCCUGCUUUUGUGGGGUGCUCGAGUGGCGAACGGGUGAGUAACACGUGAGUAACCUGCCCUUGACUUUGGGAUAACUUCAGGAAACUGGGGCUAAUACCGGAUAGGAGCUCCUGCUCCAUGGUGGGGGUUGGAAAGUUUCGGCGGUUGGGGAUGGACUCGCGGCUUAUCAGCUUGUUGGUGGGGUAGUGGCUUACCAAGGCUUUGACGGGUAGGCGGCCUGAGAGGGUGACCGGCCACAAUGGGACUGAGAUACGGCCCAGACUCCUACGGGAGGCAGCAGUGGGGAAUAUUGCACAAUGGGCGGAAGCCUGAUGCAGCAACGCCGCGUGCGGGAUGACGGCCUUCGGGUUGUAAACCGCUUUCGCCUGUGACGAAGCGUGAGUGACGGUAAUGGGUAAAGAAGCACCGGCUAACUACGUG
rnacentral:rRNA from 1 species